AAGGCCAAAUGAAAGGACCAAAGCAAACAUCCCAUUAGCAAACCUCCACGACGGUAAAAACUCAACCGAUUUCGUAUCUUCUCUCUUUGGUAUGCGGAACUCAUCCACAAGUCCUUUGAUAGCUUGAUUUAAGAAGCUUAUGAAGAAUUCUCUGUCGUGUAAGCUCUUUUUCUCUUUGUUAGGCUUUGCUUUUGUGGCAACAAGUACUUUAACUGAGUCUUGACCAUCCACCUCCUUUGUGUAACCAUCCUGACAUCUCCCUGUGCCAAUCUUAACAAAGCAAAAUGGAUCUGUUAGUUCUUGUUGAAUGUGACCGUUAUGGACAGAACCUUUCUUGAGAUUGAAUUUAGGAACUUCGAGGCCAUCAAAUAAUGGAUUGGAUCCAUCUGAUAUACCAUAAGAGUUCCUCAUGAUUGAAGCUGCUACACCAACUGUGAAAGAAUCCCACAUAAAAUAUCUCGUAUAAAAAUUACUGUCAAACCAAGUAUCGCGUGUCAUUUUCAAGGACUUGAGACUGUAUUGUGCUUCGUACGUGUCUUGACUCUUUUCAAAUUCGUCGAAGAAUUGUUCAUUGGAUCGGUGCCGACUACAACGCUCAAUUGCGUACUGGUUUGAGGUAGCUCCCGUCAUAACAAAUGGUUCGGCGAUUCCCUGCAGAGUAGCUCUUGGUCAUGAGUUGGCAUUUUAUGCAGAGUUCACACAUGUUGGAUUAUUUAACCAAGGAGCAAUAACUAGCAAUGGUAUUAUUGGACAUCAUGGAACUUGCAUAGGCGGUACCUGCAAGUCUGAUACAGGGAUACAUGGUGAUUUUAACUUGAAAAAAUUUGAGGAUGGUGUUCUGUCAUCUGCUGCAGUAGGAAGUGUUUGAUAUGGUUGGUCGCAUCAUCGCUUCUGGAUGGAAUCAGUACAGAGAGAUCUGUGGUAGCUAGCUGUGGAAACUGAUAGUUGAUAUCCUUAGCAAGUUUGAGUCUAUUGGCCCAAGAUUCAGCGGUUGGACUACCUAUCACACUGCAAAUCCUCCGACUUGAAAGUGACGGACAUAAGACCAUUCAUUAGAUGCUGCAAAACCUUGUGCUCAGCUUCAGAAGAGAAUAAAGCAGGAUGCAAUUUGUUUUCUGCAGCCAACACAACCUUUAGUUCUGUAUCUCGACUUUCAAUUGUUAAUGAACCUGUGUGUUGUUUUUUCAAUCUUGGAGAUAGAAGCACGGAACAGCUCCAAAUGAGUGCAAACGAGAUUAACAAGAUCCCUUAUCAAAAAAUCAAUCAGAUUUAUAUUUCUCAUGCGUCCUGAAAUUUCACCAAGUACACCAAUAAUUAGUUGCACCAACUCCUCAGGAGCCUCUUUGUCCGGUGUUAAGCGAGAGUACCAAAGAUCUGUUACCCACUCAGAAACCAGAUGUCUAGUGAAGUGAUCAAUUGCAUCCUCAACAACAACUGCUUCCUCUCUCGGAAAAGCAUCAGCACUCCCUUGGCCAUUGAAAAAGGCAAAAAAAAAAAGACAACACCUCCAGAAUUCACGGUUACCUCAAGAGCUUUGUUGAUUUCAUUCUCAGAUUGUUCCUUGCUACUGCUGAUAUGUUAGUUUGAAUUGGAUUUGUAUCUUUUUUUGUUUAGAGUAUUUCAAUAGGUCAUAUCGUAGUGACGUAUGUAAUGUGACAUUGGUAUUGUAACUUGGUUGAGCAAGAAGUAUGAUUGAAAUUUGAAUGUAUGGUUUGAAUA